rnacentral:rRNA from 1 species
GAUCAUGGCUCAGGACGAACGCUGGCGGCGUGCUUAACACAUGCAAGUCGAACGAAGCGAUUUAACGGAAGCCUUCGGGCGGAAGAUAAAUUGACUUAGUGGCGGACGGGUGAGUAACGCGUGAGCAACCUGCCCAUAAGAGGGGGAUAACAGUUGGAAACGACUGCUAAUACCGCAUAAGACCACAUUACCGCAUGGUAAAGGGGUCAAAGAAAUUCGCUUAUGGAUGGGCUCGCGUCCCAUUAGGUAGUUGG